rnacentral:lncRNA from 1 species
AUUGUGUAUCUGUUGCUAUUCAUUUUAACAACCUUUGUCAAAACCAGUUGCUUUAUUGUUAUAGUUUAUUUUUAAGAUGUGCUUUAUUCCGUGCGGUAUCCUUUAAAAUUUAUUUCUUGUAUAUAUUUUAAUGAAGGUGAGAUAUUAAUGAAAUUAUAGUAGGAAUAAUGUUUUGCCAUUUAUGUACAGAGCCAUAUCUAGAAGUUCCUUUGGUCAUUCUGGUGCAAUGUCUGACAAAUGUUUAGCCACUAGGUGUCUUAAGUGUGCUAGAAAUUAAGAUGAUUGAAAAAACAGUAAUUAUUUCCGUGGGUGUUUUUAUUAUUAUUAUUCUUUUGAACUAUAGUAAUCUUCUCCAGUUUCUACAUCUAUAUAGGACAGAAACUUUGCACUCUUUUGUGAGUUGAUCAAAAUGGCAAGAUCCGAUACACUUUCUCCUUUCUCAUUUUUUGCGAAAGAUGCGAAAGAUGGAGUUUUCCUACCUCUGGAGUUUGGGCAUCUCCCUUCAUGGAAUGUGUGCCUUCCUCUCUUGCAGCUUACACUGUACUGGUGAAACAAUGAAGUGUGAAUUACUUGUUGCUUCCUCUUUUGCAAGUUCCUGUCAUGUCCCUUUAACUGUUAGCUGCAGUUCUCUGGGUUUAAGACUAUAGAGUCAUAAGAAAACACCUAUAUCUGACCAGGGGUAUGAGAAUGGCUGCUUACCUGGUCCAGAGGUGGGCAGAGGUUGUGGCCCAGUGCAGCAGCCCCUCACAUCCCCAGGGGGAGAAAAUGACUUUGCCAUGGCAGCCGGCAUUUGGGGCACCUCCCGGACGGGUUGCCCUCCUGAAGUUUGAAUGUGCCCUAUCAGCGGCAAGCUGAUGGGCGGAGCCUGGGUGGUGAAGUCAUAGAUGAUUUUUUUAAAAAAAUUGUAUAGUGCUUAUAAGCCAAAAUAUGUGCAUCUAAGGCAUGCAAUAUCCAUACCAUAUUGAUAAAUGAAGAUGAUAAUUGUGAUUUUAAUGAGAAAUAAUGUGGGCCCAUACAGAGAGCCAAAAUUUAUGUUGUGCUUUAGCGAGACCAGAUACUGUAAUGUACCUUAAUACCUGCAUUUUCCUGACCACUUUGCCUAAAGCAGUAGCUGUAGAAAAAAACCAAUAUAACAGCCAGCUCUGUCUCAGAAGGAAUUAAGGUCACAAGAUUAUUAUUAUUAUAUUCAUUCUGAGGAAGGCAACUAGCCAUAAUACAGAGUAUUAUGGGAAUGCAGUUUCUUAAACUGUGCUAACCCUAUAGCUUUCCUCCAUAAGCCUUGGGUAAUAUAUAUUUUUAAAUAAGAUUCAUCUAAGUACUAAAACAUUAAUAUUUUUGAAUAGUUCUGAUAGAAAGGCAGCUUUCAACUUGCAAUAUAAUCUGUGGAGCAGAAUUAAAAUCUAGUUUUAUAAAUUGAUUUCUGAUCACCAGGCAUUUGGUUCUCUGAUUUCCGACUUAAUCUUUGUGAAAUAUGAAAUGCAGCGCUAUUGUUGAAAGCUACCCUAGCAAAAAGAAAAUGAAGCAUUCUGGUGCCAUGUCCCAACAGACCUCCUGAGUUCAUGUAGGCACUUGAGGCACCGUCUUUAUAGUUGUCUAAACAUGAGGCAAGGCUGAAGGGAGAGAAAAUCUCUUUGAUAUGACAGACUGAGCUUUAACAUAUGACUGGUUGGGAUUUUUGUUUAUGUGCCAGGCUGUGAACCUCUAUUCUUUGUAGCUAUUGCUCUUUAUGGGAAAGCUGCAGUGCUGCAGUUAGUUAAUUUUAUACUCUGAACAGAAUGAGUAUUGCAGGGGGCACUUUUUAGAUGGAAAUACAGUCGUACCUUGGAUCCCGAACGCCCUGGAACUCGGAUGUUUUGGCUCCCGAAUGCCACAAACCCAGAAGUUAUUGUUCUUUUGGAACCCGUACGUCCAAUGGGUCUUCUGCGGCUUCUGAUUGGCAGCAGAAGCUUCCUGCAGCCAAUCAGAAGCCACAAUUUGGUUUUUCGAAUGUUUUGGAAGCUGAACAGACUUCCAGAACGGAUUCUGUUUGACUUCCAAGGUACGACUGUACUUAAAAUCAUAGAAUCUUAGAGUUGGAAAGGACACCAAGGGUCAUCUAGUCCAACCCCCUGCAAUGCAGGGAUCACUUCUGUCAUUUCAAAAUGUAGUAAGCCAGCCCUGGAGACCUCCUGCUCAUUCUGCAAAGUAGGGAUCUACGCUUCCAGUUCAUAAUCCUGCCCAGACAGCAACACUGGAGACUUGUUCUGUUCUCAGCAUUGCUAGUACUAAUUUUGCUCUUUUAUGCACUUGUCACUUUACUAUAAUUCAGCAAGGCAGUGCCUUUGUUCUUGUUUAUUUUUGUGCCACACCCUUCCUCCAUUGAGCUAAGGAUGGUGUACUUGACUUUAUUCUCACAACAAUCCUGUAAGGUAGGUUAUGCCCAUAUGUACGGCAUAAACUAGAGUUAACUAUAGAUUUCAGUAGAAUGUGCUUAACUCUUCUUUUGUAAUCAAUAGAACUUAAAAGCUCUUAAUUCUGGCUAGGCAAUCUUUUCUUGCUGCAGGGUGCAGGACAAGAAAUCUCAGGAGGAAGGACUGUAGAACAGAGUUGUAUUAAAUCUAGAGUAGGGAUGGGUGAAUCUCAUAAACCUCCUUUCUCUGUUUUCCAUUUUGUCCAAACUUAAAUUCAGUUCUCCACACCAGUUUGCGAAUUCUUUUUUCAAAAGGUCCUCAUGAAAAUGCAUUAGCAUUUUAGUGCAGUUUUCUCCUAUUGUACACACUUUUCUGUGAAAUUUUGCCUAAAAUACUGUACUCAUUUCUGCAAAUCAGUUUCCCCUGAUAUACCAUAAUAUGUUUUAUAUGUUGUCUUCACUAAUAUAUGUGUGUUUGUGCACACUUUAUGCCAAAUAUAUGCUUUCGUGUACACAUUACUUGGUUGGAAAACUGCAUUGCAAACUUUGGAGAAGUGCCGGUUUCAAAGGAUGAGUGUGUCACUUCUCAAACUGUUUUAGGAAGUGUGAAUUAGGUCAAUUCACUUUUAAUGGUGAACUGAACCAAAUUUCCUCCCCAUUCCUAAUCUAGGGUUGUAUUCAACCUAAAAGCUGGUAUUUGUAGACAAACAUAUUGCUGCCCUACUUAAUAGCAUUUUUCAAACACUGGGGCAUGAUUUACAAUAUGGUUGCAAGAUAUAGUGAUCACUACUCAUAUCUUCCCUAUUUCCCACUUUAUGCUUUUUUAAAGAUAGAGGUAGCAGCUUUGAAAUUACUUCCUCGUCGUAUAAUAUCAUGGUUCGAUUUUCUGUUAGGACACCAUUUAUGCACCAGAUAAUUGUAAUUUUUUCACUUGUUAUUGAAUAAUGCCACAUAGCAGUUUGAAAUGUUCUGUCUCUUUCCAGAGUUAUGCAGCUGUGCUUAAAACUCUGCUGGCCAACUCAGUAUAUAAUAUGUUUUGCUUCUGAAACGCUGCCAUAUUACCUCCAUUAGCACAGUGGUUGGUUUGCAAACAUCUGUUUGCUCUUAUUUUGCCUAUGCUUCUUCAGAUCUGUUUCUACAUGACGUAAAUCAGUGGCAUUUGACUGGGAUGUGUGAUUUGUUUGCUAAAUAAAAUGUUAAGAAAUCGAGCGAAAUAGCUACCCUGGAGCAAUGACAUGAAUAGACACAUACAGGGGGAAAGAUGCUGAUUGUGUGUGAUGUCUUUCAUGAGUUAAGAUAGUCACGUGAUUAUCCAUUUAGAAAUAAUUAUUGGCCUCAGAAAACCCAGACCUAACCAGAGAAAGGAUAAACAAAAUCAAGGAAGUGGAAUAUUUAUACAUAUAUGUGUAUGCAUGCUUGGAUGCAAAAGAUUUUUGUUCAUGGAAUAUCUUCUCACUGACAGAAGCUGCACUGCAUAGUCAUUGCCAGCUCUGCAGGAUGGCUGGAAGUAAACCCAGUUGUGUUGGAGGUGAUGCAGUGUUCCCAGACUAACUCCCAGCACACAGCAGACAGAAUUUCGGGAGGAGCUUGCUGCAAACGUUGGCCAAGAGACAGAAGAAAGGAUACACUGGUACCUUGGGUUACAGAUGCUUCAGGUUACAGACACCGCUAACCCGGAAGUAGUACCUUGGGUUAAGAACUUUGCUUCAGGAUGAGAACAGAAAUCGCGUUGUGGUGGCGCAGCAGCAGCGGGAGGCCCCAUUAGCUAAAGUGGUACCUCAGGUUAAGAACAGUUUUAGGUUAAGAACAGACCUCCGGAAUGAAUUAAGUUCUUAACCCGAAGUACAACUGUAUUUUUGUGACCCAAUGGACAUCUGGUUAGGUAAAACAUCUGGGAUUCUAUCGGGAGUUUUGAUCCCUUAGUUACACAUCUUUGCUGGGAGCAGUCUGUUAAGAGCUCGGAUGGUUAAGAGAUUCUAGGUGUCCGGGGGAUGAUGCCAAAACUAUGGGUGUGUAUAUGAGAAAGUAUAUAGGCCCAAUCAAAGUUAUCCCUCUAUUCACUUUAAUGGGCCUCAGUUUUGUUCAUUUUUUUAAAAAUUCCCCAUGCAUAAACUAUGCACACUGCAAGGUUCUAAAUGGACGCAACUUGUUUUAUAUAUCAACAUUCUUACUGUUCCAAUAACUAAUGAAGGAUGAUAAACAUAAUUGUGUGCAGUUUCCUCUUACGUAACUGGCUACUUUUGCCGUUAUGGAGGUCAUUUAUGUAUGUUCAAUUCUGCAUGAAGUUCAAUUUUUUUCUAGCACUUUGCACACACACACACACACACACACACACACACGCAAUCUUAGCUGCUUGACCUUAAUAUAAUAUUAAAUGUCUACCUCAUAUCUAUCUAUCUAAUUGCAAAGGCUAAAAGAAAGUGAGUUAUGUAAGCUAGAGAUCGCUUUAAUUGAAAUGGAAAGCAAAAAUUAUGUGCUAUGGGACAUAACCAUCAUGAAUGAUAAUAGUGGGCAUCAACAUGUGUCCUGCAUUUCCAAUAAAUAGAGUCAUAUCUGCUGAUAAUUUUCCUGAGAUUGACUAGGGUGAUUUGCCAUCUGGUCAUUAUUUUCAGAAACUUUUCUUUUAAGUUUGAAUACAAGAGAACGGUGUUAUUACGUUUCAAUAUCUAUUCCCAUUAUACAUAUAUCAAAGGUUUGCCAGUAUUUUAACCAUAUAGUUUUGCUUACUCUGCCUUGCCUUCUGUGUCUUGGAGGCCAUAUAGACUUUUAUAUUAACUUC